GGAGGUAUGGCUCAACUGGUAGAGUGCCUGCCUAGUGAGCUCAAUGUCCUGAGUUCAAACCUCAAUAUCAUCC
rnacentral:tRNA from 1 species